rnacentral:rRNA from 1 species
GACGAACGCUGGCGGCGUGCUUAACACAUGCAAGUCGAGCGGUAAGGCCUUUCGGGGUACACGAGCGGCGAACGGGUGAGUAACACGUGGGUGAUCUGCCCUGCACUUCGGGAUAAGCCUGGGAAACUGGGUCUAAUACCGGAUAUGACCUUGGACUGCAUGGUUCUUGGUGGAAAUGUUUACUGGUGCAGGAUGGGCCCGGGGCCUAUCAGCUUGUUGGUGGGGUAAUGGCCUACCAAGGCGACGACGGGUAGCCGGCCUGAGAGGGCGACCGGCCACACUGGGACUGAGACACGGCCCAGACUCCUACGGGAGGCAGCAGUGGGGAAUAUUGCACAAUGGGCGAAAGCCUGAUGCAGCGACGCCGCGUGAGGGAUGACGGCCUUCGGGUUGUAAACCUCUUUCAGCAGGGACGAAGCGAGAGUGACGGUACCUGCAGAAGAAGCACCGGCCAACUACGUGCCAGCAGCCGCCGUAACAC